AGUGAACGCUGGCGGUAGGCCUAACACAUGCAAGUCGAACGGCAGCACAGAGGAGCUUGCUCCUUGGGUGGCGAGUGGCGGACGGGUGAGGAAUACAUCGGAAUCUACUCUAUCGUGGGGGAUAACGUAGGGAAACUUACGCUAAUACCGCAUACGACCUACGGGUGAAAGCAGGGGAUCUUCGGACCUUGCGCGAUUGAAUGAGCCGAUGUCGGAUUAGCUAGUUGGCGGGGUAAAGGCCCACCACGGCGACGAUCCGUAGCUGGUCUGAGAGGAUGAUCAGCCACACUGGAACUGAGACACGGUCCAGACUCCUACGGGAGGCAGCAGUGGGGAAUAUUGGACAAUGGGCGCAAGCCUGAUCCAGCCAUACCGCGUGGGUGAAGAAGGCCUUCGGGUCGUAAAGCCCUUUUGUUGGGAAAGAAAUCCAUCUGGUUAAUACCCGGGUGGGAUGACGGUACCCAAAGAAUAAGCACCGGCUAACUUCGUGCCAGCCGCCGCCGUAA
rnacentral:rRNA from 1 species